UACAGAGGGUGCGAGCGUUGUUCGGAAUUAUUGGGCGUAAAGGGCGCGUAGGCGGCGCCACAAGUCACCUGUGAAAACUCUGGGCUCAACCCAGAGCCUGCAGGCGAAACUGUGGUGCUGGAGUAUGGGAGAGGUGCGUGGAAUUCCUGGUGUAGCGGUGAAAUGCGCAGAUAUCAGGAGGAACACCGAUGGCGAAGGCAGCUCGCUGGGACGGUACUGACGCUGGAGGCGCGAAAGCGUGGGGAGCAAACAGG
rnacentral:rRNA from 1 species